UGAAAAGGAAGAAGGUUGUCCCUCAUUCACCAAACAACCUCCAUGGAAAGAACAACAAAAACAGCCACAACCACAAGUAAAGAUCUACUCGACAACUUUCUCCAAACACACCAAAGGAAGGAGACGUGGGACUGGAUCCGCCCCAUUUUGUUCAUUUCUGCCAAAGCUUUGGCCAGCUCGGCCCUCCUCUGCUUCAGGUGCGCCUCCACGCCCCGCGCCUGUCGAAGCGCUCGUGUCUGCUCUGCUUCCAGCUGCUCGGUGGCCUUCUUCCUGACCUCCCCCACCGCCUCCUGCAGCCUGGCGAACUGCUGCUCCACCUCACCCAGCACCUCUUGCACCGCAGCCUGAAGACGACAGCAUGCAUCCAAAGGUCGGGGGUGGCCGGUGGGAGGAGGCAAGAGGGUCCGCAGCUGCCUCUUUGACUGGUGCAGGAGGAACGACGCAAGCUCUCCGCUCAUGUCUACGACCUCAAUAUGAGCACGGGCCUCCCCCAAGGACGCGGUGGCGUGACCUGCGUGCCCUUGACCCUGGCAGUCGGAGCACAGGCAGCAGCCGUGGGUCAGACAGUAGCGCUCCAGCGGAAGGUGAUGGCGCCCGCACGUGUCGGCGUCCACGCGAUGCCGCGGCUCCACUAGACGAUGGCUCUGGAAUCGGAGGUUGACCAGGUGAGGUCUGAGGUGAUCCGGGCAGAAGGACACCAGACAGGUCAUGCAGGAUUUGACGGCCUCGUUCGGGUCGCCCAUGCACGAGUCGCACGGCACAUCUUGCUUGUCCGUUGUUCGGUCUCCGGUGUGAUUCUCCGUGCUGAAAUCCUCCGGGCUGUUAGUCGUCGUCAUGUUUGUUUUUUUUAAGCAUGCACCGGCCCUCUUGAGAGUGUAAGGAAGUUACUUGUAAGCCACGCCUGUUAUUUUGUGCUCCUAUUCCACCCCUCCCCUCUUUUAUUCUUUUCUUUACCAAUCUGAGGGGGAAAUGACGAGUGGAGAUUUUAACUUCCUGUUUGAUCCUGAGAGAUUGUGCUUCCUUUUGACGAGUGUUCUGCUGCACUACUUGAUAACAUGCAAGCUGUGCUGACACUCUUUUCUGAUCCAUGGGCAUAAGCAUUAAAAAUUCUUAAUAUUCUCAUUAAAGGCCUACUGAAAUCAGAUUUUCUUAUUUAAACGGGGAUAGCAGGUCCAUUCUAUGUGUCAUACUUGAUCUUUUCGCGAUAUUGCCAUAUUUUUGCUGAAAGGAUUUAGUAGAGAACAUCGACGAUAAAGUUUGCAACUUUUGGUCGCUAAUAAAAAAGCCUCGCCUUUACCGGAAGUAGCAGACGAUGUGCGCGUGACGUCACGAGUUGUAGGGCUCCUCACAUCCUCACGUUGUUUAUAAUCAUGGCCACCAGCAGCAAGAGCUAUUCGGACCGAGACAGCGACAAUUUCCCCAUUAAUUUGAGCGAGGAUGAAAGAUUCGUGGAUGAGGAAAGUUAGAGUGAGGCACUAAAAAAAAAUUUAAAAAAAGGGGCGGCAGUGGUAGCGUUUCAGAUGUAAUUAGACACAUUUACUAGGAUCAUUCUGGAAAAUCCCUUAUCUGCUUAUGGUUUUAAUAGUGUUUUAGUGAGAUUAUAAAGUCAUACCUGAAAGUCGGAUGGCUGCGGUGAACGCCAGUGUGAAGUGAAGUGAAUUAUAUUUAUCCAUCCAUUUUCUACCGCUUAUUCCCUUUCGGGGUCGCUGGCGCCUAUCUCAGCUACAAUCGGGCGGAAGGCGGGGUACACCCUGGACAAGUCGACACAGACAGACAACACUCACAUUCACACACUAGGGCCAAUUUAGUGUUGCCAAUCAACCUAUCCCCAGGUGCAUGUAUAUGGCGCUUUUUCUCUAGUGACUCAAAGCGCUUUACAUACUGAAACUCAAUAUCUAAGUUACAUUUAAACCAGUGUGGGUACCGAGCAGGUGGGUAAAGUGUCUUGCCCAAGGACACAACGGCAGUGACUAGGAUGGCGGAAGCGGGAAUCGAACCUGCAACCCUCAAGUUGCUGGCACGGCCACUCUACCAACCGAGCUAAACCGCCCUGUCUCUCAGAGAAGCCAAUUGAGGAGCCAAGAUCACAGCUGCCUUUUUGACAGCUACAGGAGGAGGUCCAUUAAAUCCAAUGAAGUCUCCGGUAAGAGUUGACUUAAUAUCACAAUUUUCCCAUCCAAAAACUUGCUGGUUGACGUAGAGAGACAUGUUCGCUUGACCGCUUUGUGUUAAAGCUUCACAACAAAGAAACACCGGCUGUGUUUUGGUGCUAAAAACAGCUGCAAUCCUUUGCUUUCCACCAACAGCAUUGUUCUUUAUAGUCUCCAUUAUUAAUUGAACAAAUUGAAACAAUUCAGCAACACAGAUGUACAGAAUACUGUGUAAUUAUGCGAUUAAAGCAGACGACUUUUAGCCGUGUGUGGUGCAGCGCUAAUACUUCCUGUCAUCAUGCCGCGACGUUUUUAACAAGAAACUCCGCGGGAAAUUUAAAAUUGCAAUUUAGUAAACUAAAAAGGCCGUAUUGGCAUGUGUUGCUAUGUUAAUAUUUCAUCAUUGAUAUAUAAACUAUCAGACUGCAUGGUCGGCUGUUGUGGGUUUCAGUAGGCCUUUAAAAGAGCACUUAUGACUUAGCAAACAUGUAGUUAAAUGCUUUCAUAACAUAUCUUAAUCAAAAUACUGGAGCAUUUAAA